AAUUUGACUCCAUUACCUCCCCACUGUGUGAUUUCAGGGAUAUCACUUGACCUCUCUGAGCCUGCUUCCUCCUGGAGACAACAGUGUAUACUCAGGGCUAUUGCGGGGAAUGACAAGGAAAAUGGAUGAAAAUGUGCUGGAGAAAUUCUGAGGCAUCAGUCAGAUGAAAGCCCUACCUCUCCCUCUCAAAUCAGAGCCUGUUUGGCGAAGACUUUUCAGGUGUGCCGACUGCCCCAAGCUGACCCAGUGCGGAUCCUAACUGGCCCCACCAGCAUCUUCCAUGCUCACCCA
rnacentral:lncRNA from 10 species